UACGGAGGGGGCAAGCGUUGUUCGGAAUUACUGGGCGUAAAGCGCGUGUAGGCGGUGGCUUAAGUCUGGCGUGAAAGCCCGCGGCUCACCCCCGGAAGUGCGCUGGAAACUGGGCGACUCGAGUGCCGGAGAGGAGGGUGGAAUUCCUGGUGUAGCGGUGAAAUGCGUAGAUAUCAGGAGGAACACCGGUGGCGAAGGCGGCGGUCUGGACGGAUACUGACGCUGAGGCGCGAAAGCGUGGGGAGCAAACAGG
rnacentral:rRNA from 1 species